CCAGGUGUCUGCACAGCAGGCUCUGCCCUCACCCUCCCCUCAUGCCCACAGCCAGGUGUCUGCACAGCAGGCUCUGCCCUCACCCUCCCCUCAUGCCCACAGCCAGGUGUCUGCACACAGGCUCUGCCCUCACCCUCCCCUCGUGCCCACAGCCAGGUGUCUGCACACAGGCUCUGCCCUCACCCCUGUGCCCACAGCCAGGGCCGACAGCCAUUCCAGGACAGAGGGCUCCCUAACCCACAGAAUGAUCGGGGUCAGGGAAGCAGCAGACAUGGCAAAGAGGAUCUGACCCUGGAGACACCUGAAUUCCCAUGACGACCCGACUACCUCACAAGCCAAAGCUUCCUUCUCUGAAGGAAACAGACAGCAGCUGCCACCGUGCAGGGCUCUGCAGGAACGGACGGGGACAGGCUUGGAAGGUACCUUUAUAGACGAGUCCACAGGAACUCCAGAAAAUAUUACUUCCUUCCCACAUAUCCUUGCAGGAGGGAAGAAAAAACCCUAACCAUAUAUUUCCAAUAUGCUUUAUCUUUGUCCAAAACAGUCUAAGAACCUACAGAAAGAUCGGGGGGAAAUGGGGAAGUUACAUUUUGAAUCAAGAAUGUGAAAUGCUGGCUGAUCUUUUUCAAACUGUUGGUUAUCAAUAUUUUUUCAUCUUAAGAAUUUUUUUAAAUUUUUCAUUUUGAAAUAAUUUCAGACAUACAGAAAAGUUGCAAAAGCAGUACAGGGGAUUCUUACGUACUCUUUACCCUGAUUUCCUAAACCCUGACAUUUUACGUUUACUGUUCUUUCUCUGUCUCAUGUAAUUAUUUUUCAGAGCCACUUGACACUACAUUGCAGGCAUGAUAGCCCUUCGCAUAGUAAAUGAUUCACUGUGUGUUUACUAAAACCAAUGGGAUUUUCAUAAUAACCACAGUACGAUCAUCAAAAUCUUGAGAUACUAGUAUUUCACUGACAAACCUUAUUCACAUUUUGGCAGUUGUUCCACUCCUGUGUUUUAUAGGAAAUGAAAAAACAAAACUCCACACAAAACCACAUGUUGUACUCGUCACAUCUCUAGUUUUAUUUAACCUGGAACCAUUUCUCAGUCUUUCUCCAUCUCCACUGAGAAUUUUUCCCUUUACAAAUCAUAAGAAGAAAAGAACCGGAUCAUGAGAGCCCCUUCCAGGAAUUAUUCAGUGUGUGAAAAUCCGAAGGUUAUGAACUUCAGAGAACGUUUGUUCGCCUUUUCUAUUUCAGCACACGCGUGGCUGCCGGACUGCAUGUGUGGUUAUGGACUUUGGUCAGGAAAGUGCCUGGAAGCCAAAGGUGAGAGGGAAAAGGUGAAAAGGAAAAGGUUUCUCGACAAAAACAUCAGACACUUGUUCUUCCUCCAAGAUCCCAGCAAACUCACAGGAAUGCCACGAGGUCUUAGAGCACAUGUUUGUGCU
rnacentral:lncRNA from 1 species